UACGUAGGGACCGAGCGUUGUCCGGAAUCAUUGGGCGUAAAGAGCGUGUAGGCGGCCUUUUAAGUCCUGCGUGAAAUCCUGCGGCUCAACCGCAGACGGUCGUGGGAAACUGGAAGGCUAGAGUGCGGGAGAGGAGAGUGGAAUUCCCGGUGUAGCGGUGAAAUGCGCAGAUAUCGGGAAGAACACCCGUGGCGAAGGCGGCAUCCUGGACCGGCAUUGACGCUGAGGCGCGAAAGCCAGGGGAGCAAACGGG
rnacentral:rRNA from 1 species